CUUGCUAAGCAUAGUAGAGAAAAUGGGCUUCCAUACAGUUGGUACAAACUUUACUACGUUCAACAAUAUUGUGCAAGAUGUCAAUGAAUGGAUUUACACACAACAAACAUUGAUGGCUGUGACUGGUGUGAGCUAGCUAGCUACAGUAUGAUACUGUAGCGAUCCUUAUAUAUACCACAGAAGAAUGAAAAGCGACGCCACGGCUGAUGGCUGUGACUGGUGUGUGGUGAGUAACUAGCUACAGUAUAAUACUGUAGUGAUCUUUAAAUGUACCACAGAAGAACCAAGAAAUGAAGAGCAACGCCACGGCUGACUUCUUGGGCUUUUAUGUAGAUCUGCAAUUACAUUAUGAAAAGACACGACAGGAAGAUUAUCAGUCUCCAAUGCACCAUCUGACAAGUUGUUCUAUAGAGGAGCAUGAAGAACGUAACAGGSUACUUACAAAAACCUGGUGGGUUUGUUGUUCAGCAGUGUCAUGGGAACUCUCCAACGAUAUCAGGAGCAGAAGGCUGAGGCAGAACUUGGCAAGGCACCAGUCACAUUUCAGAUGGAGGACAGGAGAGAUGGUUUGUCAUGGAGUCCCCUGACUAACAGACAGGUUGAUACAGAUGGAGGACAGGAGAGAUGGGUUGUCAUGGAGUCCCCUGACUAACAGACAAGUUGAUACAGAUGGAGG